rnacentral:rRNA from 1 species
GACGAACGCUGGCGGUGUGCUUAACACAUGCAAGUCGAACGGAAAGGCCCUGCUUUUGUGGGGUGCUCGAGUGGCGAACGGGUGAGUAACACGUGAGUAACCUGCCCUUGACUUUGGGAUAACUUCAGGAAACUGGGGCUAAUACCGGAUAGGAGCUCCUGCUGCAUGGUGGGGGUUGGAAAGUUUCGGCGGUUGGGGAUGGACUCGCGGCUUAUCAGCUUGUUGGUGGGGUAGUGGCUUACCAAGGCUUUGACGGGUAGCCGGCCUGAGAGGGUGACCGGCCACAUUGGGACUGAGAUACGGCCCAGACUCCUACGGGAGGCAGCAGUGGGGAAUAUUGCACAAUGGGCGGAAGCCUGAUGCAGCAACGCUGCGUGCGGGAUGACGGCCUUCGGGUUGUAAACCGCUUUCGCCUGUGACGAAGCGUGAGUGACGGUAAUGGGUAAAGAAGCACCGGCUAACUACGUG